rnacentral:rRNA from 1 species
GACGAACGCUGGCGGCGUGCCUAAUACAUGCAAGUUGAGCGAUGAAGAUUGGUGCUUGCACCAAUUUGAAGAGCAGCGAACGGGUGAGUAACGCGUGGGGAAUCUGCCUUUGAGCGGGGGACAACAUUUGGAAACGAAUGCUAAUACCGCAUAACAACUUUAAACAUAAGUUUUAAGUUUGAAAGAUGCAAUUGCAUCACUCAAAGAUGAUCCCGCGUUGUAUUAGCUAGUUGGUGAGGUAAAGGCUCACCAAGGCGAUGAUACAUAGCCGACCUGAGAGGGUGAUCGGCCACAUUGGGACUGGGACACGGCCCAAACUCCUACGGGAGGCAGCAGUAGGGAAUCUUCGGCAAUGGACGAAAGUCUGACCGAGCAACGCCGCGUGAGUGAAGAAGGGUUUCGGAUCGUAAAACUCUGUUGGUAGAGAAGAACGUUGGUGAGAGUGGAAAGCUCAUCAAGUGACGGUAACUACCCAGAAAGGGACGGCUAACUACGUG